rnacentral:rRNA from 1 species
UACGUAGGGGGCGAGCGUUGUCCGGAUUUAUUGGGCGUAAAGAGCUCGUAGGCGGCUAAGUAAGUCAGGUGUGAAAACUCCAGGCUCAACCUGGAGACGCCACCUGAUACUGCUUUGGCUAGAGUCCGGUGAGGGGAGGCAUGGAAUUCCUGGUGUAGCGGUGAAAUGCGCAGAUAUCAGGAGGAACACCAGUGGCGAAGGCGGUGCUCUGGGCCGGAACUGACGCUGAGGAGCGAAAGCGUGGGGAGCAAACAGG